GCCAAGCCAUUUGAUUAUAUUUAUAAUGUGUAUUAUUUGCUAGUGUCCGGGUUCCUAUACACAAGCUUUAAAUAGCUUACCAGGGUGUCCCCUUGCACACAUCAUGCAUCAUGUCUUAUGAUUGUACUUGUCUUUUAACUUUUGUGAAUACAUUUGAACAU